UUCCAGGUUGUACAUACCCAAGUGCUA
rnacentral:piRNA from 1 species